GUGGGCUUAGGCCAGCAGGAAGUCCGGUGUUGGUGAUGUCUCUGCUGCUGAAAGGCCUGUAGUUGGGGUCUCCGGCCAGGUUCUGCUCGGCCCUUUCCUCAGCGCGGUUCUGCUCACGGCCCGGCCCGGCCCUCUCAGAGCGAGGCUGUCCCGGCGACUCUGCUCGCCGCCAUGCACGACGCCUUCGAGCCGGUGCCGAUCCUAGAAAAGCUGCCUCUGCAGAUCGACUGUCUGGCAGCCUGGGAGGAAUGGCUUCUUGUUGGAACCAAACAAGGACAUCUUCUCCUCUACAGGAUUCGGAAGGAUGUUGUGCCAGCAGCUGCGGCAUCACCUGAAAGUGGCAGCUGCAACAGGUUUGAAGUGACACUAGAGAAAUCCAAUAAGAAUUUCUCCAAAAAGAUUCAGCAGAUCCAUGUGGUUUCCCAGUUUAAGAUUCUAGUCAGCUUGUUAGAAAAUAAUAUUUAUGUCCAUGACCUAUUGACAUUUCAACAAAUCACUACGGUUUCAAAAGCAAAGGGAGCAUCGCUGUUCACAUGUGACCUCCAGCACAGAGAGACUGGAGAGGAGGUGUUGCGGAUGUGUGUCGCUGUGAAAAAGAAGCUGCAGCUCUAUUUCUGGAAGGACAGGGAAUUUCAUGAAUUGCAGGGGGACUUUAGUGUACCAGACGUGCCCAAGUCCAUGGCGUGGUGUGAAAAUUCUAUCUGUGUGGGUUUCAAGAGAGACUACUACCUCAUAAGGGUGGAUGGAAAGGGGUCUAUCAAAGAGCUCUUCCCAACAGGAAAGCAGCUGGAGCCCUUAGUUGCCCCUCUGGCAGAUAGAAAAGUGGCCGUGGGUCAGGAUGAUCUCACCGUGGUGCUCAAUGAGGAGGGGAUCUGCACACAGAAAUGCGCCCUGAACUGGACGGACAUACCAGUGGCCAUGGAGCACCAGCCUCCCUACAUCAUUGCAGUGUUGCCUCGAUAUGUGGAGAUCCGAACACUUGAGCCAAGGCUCCUGGUCCAGAGCAUUGAAUUGCAAAGGCCUCGUUUCAUCACUUCAGGAGGAUCAAACAUUAUCUAUGUGGCCAGCAAUCAUUUUGUUUGGAGACUUAUUCCUGUCCCCAUGGCAACUCAAAUCCAACAGCUGCUCCAGGACAAACAGUUUGAAUUGGCUUUGCAGCUUGCAGAAAUGAAAGAUGAUUCUGACAGUGAGAAGCAGCAGCAGAUCCAUCACAUCAAAAACUUGUAUGCCUUCAACCUCUUCUGCCAGAAGCGUUUUGAUGAGUCCAUGCAGGUCUUUGCUAAGCUCGGCACAGAUCCUACCCAUGUGAUGGGCCUGUACCCGGAUCUGCUGCCCACAGACUACAGGAAGCAGCUGCAGUAUCCUAACCCCCUGCCUGUGCUCUCCGGGGCUGAAUUGGAGAAGGCUCACUUAGCUCUGAUUGACUACCUGACACAGAAACGGAGCCAGUUGGUAAAGAAGCUGAAUGACUCUGAUCACCAGUCUAGCACUUCCCCACUCAUGGAAGGCACUCCCACCAUCAAAUCCAAGAAGAAGCUGCUGCAGAUCAUCGACACCACCCUGCUCAAGUGCUACCUCCAUACUAACGUGGCCCUGGUGGCCCCGCUGCUGCGCCUGGAGAACAAUCACUGCCACAUCGAAGAGAGCGAGCACGUGCUGAAGAAGGCGCAUAAGUACAGUGAGCUCAUCAUCCUGUAUGAGAAGAAGGGGCUCCAUGAGAAAGCCCUGCAGGUGCUGGUGGACCAGUCCAAGAAAGCAAACUCGCCGCUGAAAGGCCACGAGAGGACGGUGCAAUAUCUGCAACAUCUGGGCACAGAAAACCUGCAUUUGAUCUUUUCCUACUCGGUGUGGGUGCUGAGAGACUUCCCAGAGGAUGGCCUGAAGAUAUUCACCGAAGACCUCCCGGAGGUGGAGUCACUGCCCCGGGACCGAGUGCUCGGCUUCCUGGUAGAGAACUUUAAGGGCCUGGCUAUUCCUUAUCUGGAGCACGUCAUCCACGUUUGGGAGGAGACAGGCUCCCGGUUCCACAACUGCCUGAUCCAGCUGUACUGUGAGAAGGUGCAAGGUCUGAUGAAGGAGUACCUCCUGGCCUUCCCUGCAGGCCAAACCCCAGUUCCUGCUGGAGAGGAAGAGGGUGAGCUGGGAGAAUAUCGACGGAAGCUCCUUAUGUUCUUGGAAAUUUCCAGCUACUAUGACCCAGGCCGGCUCAUCUGUGAUUUUCCUUUUGAUGGCCUCUUAGAAGAACGUGCUCUCCUGCUGGGGCGCAUGGGGAAACAUGAACAAGCUCUCUUCAUCUAUGUCCACAUCCUGAAGGACACAAAGAUGGCUGAGGAGUACUGCCACAAGCAUUAUGACCAAAACAGAGAUGGCAACAAAGAGGUGUAUCUGUCCCUGCUCCGGAUGUACCUGUCACCCCCCAGCGUUCACUGUCUGGGGCCCAUCAAGCUGGAACUGCUGGAGCCCCAAGCCAACCUCCAGGCUGCCCUGCAGGUCCUCGAGCUGCACCACAGCAAACUGGACACCACCAAGGCCCUCAACCUCCUGCCAGCGAAUACUCAGAUUAACGAGAUACGCAUCUUCCUGGAAAAGGUCUUGGAAGGAAAUGCGCAAAAGAAACGGUUCAAUCAAGUGCUCAAGAACCUUCUCCAUGCAGAGUUCCUGCGGGUAUGCGCCUGGCAAACCCUCGGGUGGGCUAGUACUCUCUAUUACGAGACAGUUACCACAUAUUCCUCAGGACAAAAGCAGACCUUAACCAAGGUUGAGAACCACUGCAUUAGAGGGAUCUUUGCGGGCAGACCAAGGUACUCCUCCCCAAUCGCUCUGCCCUCCCAGGUGCAGGAAGAGCGGAUUUUACACCAGCAGGUGAAGUGCAUCAUCACGGAGGAGAAGGUGUGCAUGGUGUGUAAGAAGAAGAUUGGGAACAGAAUUAGCCCGAGACUUGUUCUGAAGAGCAUCGUUGCCUCUCAGUAAGCCGGUGCCAAGCCAGGCCGGCGCACGGCCCUAUUCACUCGUGUUUCACGUUGAUGACUUAACAAGAACCUUCAUGUACUCGAACUCCAUGGACCUCAUCCUCUGUUCAGUUAUUGGACAGAGAUGAUGGCUGUGUAAAUCCAGAGACACUGGGACAGGCUGCUCUUUGUGCGCAUUUGCGAGGUACCCCAAUGGAGUGGUGGUGCACUACUUCUGUUCCAAAGAGGUGAACCCGGCGGACACCUGAGCUCAGCGUGCCCAGGACUCAGCAGAUGGACAGCUUGGCCACCCCAGAGAGGGAAGCAGGUGCCGCUGUAGGAGUCAGGGCUGCUGCCACCACAGGUGUCUCCCCGUUUGGACACGUUGGCUACCUUGCGCCCUGGAGCAUCUCUGAAUUAAUCAGACUUGUGGUCUGGUGCCGUCAGCUUUUUAAUAGAAAAAGAUUAGAUAAACGUUGUAAACCAGGAUGCUGCAGGCAGUUCCAGGGAAUUUAACGCCUGCUUGGACUGGAGGAGGUGGUGACGGGCGGGCACUGUCUUGCCUUUGCAUACCAAUCACCUGAGUCAGGAAACUGCCUCCAGCUUCUGCAACCCCAGUGUUCAUUCGGUUUUGUAUCAAGUCGCAUGCAGGACUUCACAAGGAGCCCUUAGCAAGGCCGACGGAGUCCGUGAGAAGAGAGCAAGCCAGAGCUCCUCUGCCUGCCAAGGCCAGAUACUCCUCCUCUAGGUCACGACAGUCACUUCUCCAUGGUCACUGUGCCGUCCCCCCAGGAGGCUCCCACUCCCGCCUCCCUUUUCCCAUGUCCUUUUCUUUUGUGUCUCUCCCCUCACUGCUCCACUCUUUUGCCCACUUUCCCGACACCAGGAAUAACUAAUAUUUAAGCAAGGCAAAGUGAGAAGCAAGGCGAAGUCCACUUUCUAGGGCUACACUGAUACUUGACGGUGAGGUGUAUAGCGACUAGGUCCUCCUCGGACUGUACGCUCGGCCUGGAAGCUGAGCAGAACGUCAUUCUCAGCCUAGGAAGGCCUGUGCACCUCCCUGAGGGCCGAGUGUGGCGGUAGCUCUAGGGAUGGACAGCACUGCACAGGGUGAACGACCUCCUAGGCUGCCAUCGGCAGAGGCUCCUGCUUCUGUUCACCCACCAGCCAUCCAGGCAGGUUAGUUUAGUCUUUGUGAGUGAGCGCUCUGUGCUUGGGCGCCUCUCUUUCCAGCCACUGUGAUCCACUUACAGCAUGGCCCGGCCGCCGUUCUCCAGCCUGGUUUUGCAGAGGUUGGAGGGCUGCACCGGGAUAUCGUAGGCACACAUAGGAAUAACCAGACCAGGCACUGACAGUGACGUGGCGUCAGAUACUUGUGAGGUGCUCGGGGACUGCGCGAGUGCUGCAGACGUCAAGAACUAUCUCACUGCCAGACCCACUGAGCAUUUGUGUGGGGGGAGACCCUGGCUCCCAGAGGCACCAGGAGUGUCUGGCACUGCAGGCGGAGGACACACGGGAGAGGGGUACACCCUGUCCUCCCUGGGGGCUUGCAGUGUCUGAGGGUGAGUGACAGUGCCUGACACUGACCCACUGUGCUGCAGACCGACUUGCUGGUGGUGUAGACUAGGCUUCUCCCAGCACGUGCUCUGCGGAGGGUCUGAAGGAACAGUGAGUGCCUGUGGCACCUUCACAGAGAUGGAGGAUUCUGCCGGGUUUUGGAGGCUGAGCAGCACUUCACAAGAGCCACUGUCCCAACUGGCCAUGCCUGCCCACAGGAAGCAGUGCUGCCUUGGCCGUUCUAGUGAAGACCAGCCUCCUCCAGGAACAGCGGUGACAUUGGCAGGCCUGCCCUCCACUGUGGCAGAGACUGUUCCCACUCCGUGAGCCCUGCCUCCCAGGUCUGCUGUUUCUGUGUCUUCCAUUCCCACUGCCUGUGGGGCACAUCUGUUUGAAGCACUAGAACAAAGAAUGUGUGUUUUCUCUCCUGCUGGAUAUUUAAACGGCCCAGUUUUCCCGGAUUCCAGCCUUCCUUCCCUAGACUGUCUGCGCUCUGCGGUGGUGUGGAAAAGGCUGGCAAUGAAAGCUCUGUAGUGAGGACUGAUGAGGGUCUCGCAUAAUAAACAUCAUAGAGUAACUAA